rnacentral:rRNA from 1 species
AGUUGGUGGAGUGAUUUGUCUGGUUAAUUCCGUUAACGAACGAGACCUCGACCUACUAAAUAGUAGGCAUCAGCCUAGCUGGUGUGUUUACUUCUUAGAGGGACUCUCGGUGUGUAGCCGAUGGAAGUUCGAGGCAAUAACAGG